rnacentral:rRNA from 1 species
UACGUAGGGGCAAGCGUUGUCCGGAAUCAUUGGGCGUAAAGCGCGUGUAGGCGGCCCGGUAAGUCCGCUGUGAAAGUCGGGGGCUCAACCCUCGAAUGCCGGUGGAUACUGUCGGGCUAGAGUACGGAAGAGGCGAGUGGAAUUCCGGGUGUAGUGGUGAAAUGCGUAGAGAUCCGGAGGAAUACCAGUGGCGCAAGCGGCGCUCUGGGUCGAGCCUGACACUGAGACGCGAAGGCAUGGGGAGCGAACGGG